GUCCAUCUCCAACCCCAACUAAUAUAAUUGACAGAGGGUACUCACUGCAAAUUGACAAACACAUCGAAAAUUGUUUUAGCAGAGAAAAUAUUGCUUUUUGAAACAAGCAUAAAACAUUUUACCUUGCUUUAACAAUUGCUUCAACAGUUCUCUUUUCCUGUGGGCUUAGUUGGCCAUACUGAGUAUCAACACUUCUAGUCACCUAUGACAACCCACGAUUGCUUAAACUAUGACAGUAAUUUUCCAUUGUUGUACCAAUAUUUUGCAAUAAAUAAUGGAGUUUAGAACAAAUUAUCAGUAGUCUUUGUAGUAGUUCCAGCUAUCCAAGCAAGUAAUUAUGAGAGAUCUCAAUUUUCUUUCUAAUUUUGCUUGAAAUACCAAUAUUUCUUCAAUCAUGAAAACUCUGUUGAGUUACUAAUAUGUUCAUAGGAUUUUUUGUCAGACCAGCAGCAGCACUAUCUGCGCAAGUCAACAAAUAAUCAGACAUCCAGAACUCAACUGGCCAAGAAACUCUGGAUUGUUAUUUCAACCACAUUUUCAUUUAUUUAAUUUACUUCAGUAUGUUUGAUCAGUAGCAAGAUUACUGCAUCACAACAUAAUUUCAAACACAACUUGCGUUAAAAAUUGCAUUUUGCAGGAAAAUUCAAGUUCAGCAAAGUGAUGUAUUUAGGCAAAAUUCUGAAUUCAGUGUUUCUAUCUAGCUUUAAUAGCCACUAGAACUAAACUGAUUGCUUUUCUACAAUUUGAAAAUGCAAUGAAAUUGAAACAAAAAACUUCAAAAGAUUUUAAAAUUGUCUAAAGUUAUCAUGCUUUCAUCAUUCAAAAACCGUCCAACUAUUUGGACCGCUAGAAGGCAAAAUCACAUUAGUUGAUUGUAUAUAGAGCAGAAAAAUUACCUGCCCAUCAGCUAUUAUCACCAAAACAUGGUAUUGUCCACCACUUUGCUCAACAAUA
rnacentral:misc_RNA from 1 species